rnacentral:SRP_RNA from 1 species
GCCAUGCCUGUAGACCUUGCUACUCAGGAGGCUGAGGCAAGAGGCUCACUUGAGUCCAGGAGUUCUGGGCUGCAGUGCGCUAUGCCGCUCAGGUAUCCACACUAAGUUCGGCAUCAGUAUGGUGACCUCCUGGGAGGGGGGACCACCAGGUUGCCUAAGGAGGGAUGAACCCGCCCAGGUUGAAAAUGGAGCAGGUCAAAACUCCCAUGCUGAUCAGUAGAAUGCUGACUUACAUUCCUUUGGAGAUGUGCCUGGAAGGGUCAGAUGACCUAUUUUU